rnacentral:rRNA from 1 species
AUUGAACGCUGGCGGCAGGCCUAACACAUGCAAGUCGAGCGGAUGAAGGGAGCUUGCUCCUGGAUUCAGCGGCGGACGGGUGAGUAAUGCCUAGGAAUCUGCCUGGUAGUGGGGGAUAACGUCCGGAAACGGGCGCUAAUACCGCAUACGUCCUGAGUGAGAAAGUGGGGGAUCUUCGGACCUCACGCUAUCAGAUGAGCCUAGGUCGGAUUAGCUAGUUGGUGGGGUAAAGGCCUACCAAGGCGACGAUCCGUAACUGGUCUGAGAGGAUGAUCAGUCACACUGGAACUGAGAAACGGUCCAGCCUCCUACGGGAGGCAGCAGUGGGGAAUAUUGGACAAUGGGCGAAAGCCUGAUCAAGCCAUGCCGCGUGUGUGAAGAAGGUCUUCGGAUUGUAAAGCCCUUUAAGUUGGGAGGAAGGGCAGUAAGUUAAUACCUUGCUGUUUUGACGUUACCAACAGAAUAAGCACCGGCUAACUUCGU